UCACGGCGAUCGCGAAGGCGUUCGGGACGCUGGGGAUUCCCGCGCCGGUGACCAAGUACGGGCAUCCCGCGAUGAUGGGCCUGAUGGUGCUCGGGAUGGGCGUGCCCGGCGCCGCGCUGGGCUGGGCCGGCCGCUU
rnacentral:sRNA from 1 species